GUUCAAGCGGCCGCAGAGCGGCCCAGAGUUCGCAGGUCUGGGGCUCUCUUCCCAGAGAGCUCGUAGGGGAGGACAGUCAAGGGACUCAAGCGUCUCUCUUGACUCCCCUUCUCUCGCUGUGCAGUGGCGGCGCCGAGGGGUCGACGCUCAGGGCUAAUCUCUAUGAGUCACCCUCGAGGCCCCGGGUAAUAUUGGGUGGAUCACAAGAACUAAUCUUUCAUGAUUUGGAAACCGGAAGGAAAGAAGCACUUUUGUAGCUGACUUACCUCAAUGACAUGACCAGUGUCUGAGCCUACAACUGCGCUAUCUUCCCUGGAUUUUUCUUCACCUUUUCCUUACUCAUGAGCCAGAUGGAGCUAAGAUUGGAACUGAGGUCUGGCUAUAAAGCUGCCUUUAUGUCCAUCGCAUCCUAAGGGCUGCUGUUGCUCUUCUGCCUCUACACUGAUGGACUACGUCAGAACAUCAAUAUGCUGUAUUGAUGAUAAUGGAUGAUAUUUUCUUAGUUGUGCCAAUAUUACUCUUGAGGGAAGAAAUGAUGCCAAGCACUUAAAAAAUAUUGUGCCACUUCCUUCUGGCCUCCAUGGUUUGAGAUGGAGAACUCUGCUGUCACCCUCAUUGAUCUUUCCCUGUAAGUAAUGCAUUGUUUCUAUGUGCUUUCAAUUUUUUUCUUUAGCCUUUAGAAGUUUAAUUAUUAUUUGUCUUGGCAUAGAUCUGGAUGUAUUUGCUUUUCUAUGUUGUGUACCAGGUCUGGUAUCUAGGGAGUCCAAAAGGCAGAGACUCUUCUCUGAUAAUUCAGUAUUCUUCUUCCCUUUGCCCCUUACCACCUAUACUAUGCUUUACUAUUACUGAAGAUGGAAAUUAAGAUGAAGAGAAGGGGAAAAAGGAAGAAGGAAGAAUAAGGAAGAAAGCAAUCUUAGCCACAUUGGGCCCUCCAGGACUGUGCUUCUUCCCUUCUGGCCUCCAACACUGACAAAUCUACCUUUGUCUAACCAGCUCCCCAAUCCUUCAAGAGGAACUAUAAUGCCACAUCUGUCAUCCCUACUGUCUGAAUGAAGACCCACUCACAGCAUUAGACUUUCAGCAUUCCCUGACUGGAAUCACACAAUAAUCUGUUUGUUCCUUCUCUAGGCCAUGAGCCCCACAGACAUAGAAUUAUGCCUGUUUUGUUCAUAUCUGACUCCCUAAUUCUGGAAUACAGUGCACAGCAGCCACUCAUUAAAUAGGUGUUGAAUGAAUGACUAAAUUCCUGUGAGCUCCCUCAUGAGCUAGCAAGAGAUUUUGUUUUCUAAUCUUGGCUAAACUCAAAUGUCCGUUAAAUGUAAGAUAAUGCUCAGCUUCUUUAAAUUUGGCUCCCCACUCGAAUGAUCCAAUAUUAUUCUGGCCUAUUUUACGGGUAGAAGCCUUGAUUUUCACCUGAUUUUAUCUUAUUAAGUGUCUUAUUACAGAAGGAGUUAUGGGACCAUUUCCCGAAAUUUAUCUGCAAAAGAAAUGCAGUUGCCUUCAUGAGCAUCGAGAUGAAAAAUGUAUCCAUUACACAUGCCAUUUCCUUCAUGAUUAGGAGGCCCAUUUAAAGGAGCCAUAUCAGGACGGUGAAAAAGUUAGUUUCUGUUUUUGUUUUUCCUCAGCCAUUGUAAUUAGCAAUAAGAUUUAUGCUUUAAAUAAUCUGGUAACUAGGCCCUAAUGAGAAUUAUAAAGUUCCUGAGUUCUAUGCCUAAUGAUCACAGGAAAAGCACACAGAACACUAAAUGCUAGAGAGAUGAUUUGUUGAUUUCUGGCCCAGAAAAUAAAUAAUCUUGGAGUUCAUUAUUUUGGGUAAUUAAAUAUAAAUUAAGCCAUUAAUGAAAAACUUUACAUGAAAAAGACAGGUGUAUGAAAUUUUGAAUGUGAUCAAUUGAAUGUAGACUUCUCAGACUGGCAGGGAGCACUGAUUUCAGCCACCAGCUCCCGCAAUGGUGAGGUUCAUAAAUGCCAGGCUGAUUCCAUAUCUUGGCUCUUGUGAGUAAUGCUGUGAUGAACAUGAGAGUGCAUUUAUCUCUUUGAUACACUGAUUUCAAAUUCCUUGGACAUAGAUCCAGAAGUGGAAUUGCUGAUCACAUGGUAGUUCUAUUUUUAGUUUUUUUGAGAAACCUCCAUAUAAUUUUACAUAAUGGCUAUACUAAAUUACAUUCUCAACAACAGUGUACAAGGGUUCUCUUUCCUCCACAUCCUUGACAACACUUGUUAUCUUUUGUCUUUUUGAUAAUGGCCAUUUAGUAGAUAAAGAAAAUGUGGUAUAUACACAUAAUGAAUGCUAUUCAGCCUUAAAAAAGAAGGGAAUUUUGUCAUUUGCAACAACAUGGAUGACCCUGGAGGACAUCAUGCUAAGUGAAAGAAGUCAGCACAGAAAGACAAAUAGUACAUGAUCUUGCUCAUACGUGGAAUAUAAAACAGUAGAACUCAUAAUAGCAGAGAGUAGAAUGGUGGUUAGCAGAGGCUGGGAUGGGGGCAUGGGGAGAUGUUGGUCAAAGGGUACAUAGUUUCAGUUAGACAGAGGGAAUACAUUUUUGAGAUCUACUACACAACAUGUUGACUAUAGCUAAUAAUAUACGUUGUAUUUCAAAAUUGCUAAGAGAAUAAAUUCCAAAUGUUCUCACCACAAAAAGUGGUAUGUGAGGUAAUGAAUAUAUUAAUUAGUUUCAUUUAAUUAUUUUACAUUGUAUACAUAUGUCAUAACAUCACAUUGUUAGGUUGUCAUUAAAAGUAAUGGCAAAAACCACAUAGGAUAGGCUAUAUAGCAGAUUAAACACAACUUGACAGAAUUAGUAAAACGAAGGACAGAUGUAAACAAAUUAUCCAAAAUGCAGUGCAGAGAGCCAAAGUGAAAAAGAAAUAUAUAGCAAUUCUGAACUUGUAUGUACCUAAUAACUUGACCUCAAAAUGCAUAAAGCAUAAACAGACAAUUGCAAAAGGAAAGAGACAAAUUAUUGUUAGGGUAGAUUUUGAAAUGCCUUUUUCAGUAAUUGAUAUAACAAGCAGUCAAAAAUUGAGGAAGAAUAUAGAAGAUUUGAGCAGCACAAUAUCAAGCUUGAUCUAAAGAUCAUACAUAAGACACUGUACUCAAAAAUUCAUGAAUAUAUAUUCUCCUCAGGCACCUGUGAAAUACUUAGGAAAGUUGACCAUAACAUGGGCAGGUAAGUCUAAAUACAUUUCAGAGAAGUGGUAUCAUACAGGCCACAGUCUCUGAGGAC
ensembl:lncRNA EIF1B-AS1 EIF1B antisense RNA 1